UGGGGGAAUAUUGCACAAUGGGGGAAACCCUGAUGCAGCGACGCCGCGUGAAGGAAGAAGGUYUUCGGAUCGUAAACUUCUAUCAGCAGGGAAGAAGRUAGUGACGGUACCUGACUAAGAAGCCCCGGCUAACUACGUG
rnacentral:rRNA from 1 species